rnacentral:lncRNA from 1 species
GUGCUUGACGCUGCGCUGGAGCCACUGCCCGCUCAUCCGCCUGGGAAACGUGGCGUCCGACUACCCCUUCUGAACUCUGGAGCCAACCUGAACUUUGGCCAGGAAGGUAGCCGCGGGACCGAUUCGCCGUCUCCGAACCGAGUGGCCUGAAGGUCCCGCCCUUUGUCGUGCAAAUGAGGAGGGCGCAGGGGCCCUCGCGGCGGCACCCGCCGGGGCCGAGCUCCCCGUCUGCUGCCUCGUGACUUCUUUUCCAUUGGAGCUCGGGGCGGGGUGGUCGAUCCCUCCGGAGACCCCCUGCUAACGCGGAGGAAUGCUGAGAAAGAACUUGUCCUCAAGAGUCGCCAGUGCUCCGGACCUGGUAAGAGGGGCUUCCAGGCCCUGCCCCCACGCCCCCCACCACGUCCCACUUAGAUUCGCGUUCUGACAGCUUCACGCUUUUCCUGACUUCAACGUACCCCUUCUUCAGGCCCUGUGGGCGACAUCUGCCUGUUUGAAGUUAGGCCUCCUCAGACCAUAAUUUUAGGCCAUAAAUGAAACGCCUCAAACUGCAGCAUUGCCGCGAAAUAUUCUGCUAUUGUGAUCAGUUCAUGUGCUGGCCCACUUGGGAGUGAUUUAUUUUGGAAACAAAGGCAAAUUAGUCACCUCACAACAUGGAAAGCCAGGCGUGAGAGUCUUAUGUUUUCAGCUAUUUCAUUGUGAUAAAAACCUGGGCGUGUGUGUGGUUUUUUUGUUGUUAUUGGAUGAAUAUAAGCUUCAGGCUUAACACAUUUCAGUAGACACAUCUGUGGAGAUACAGAAGUAUCACAUAUUUAAUUUAUAUCCUGCUGCAAAUGAAAUUGUAUUACCCACCGCUUAAUGGUUAAAAGGUCAAAAUGUCUUUUCUGAGGGAUGGAUAGAAGUGUGAAAGAGGAGUUCCCGUUGUGGCUCCGUGGGUUAAGAACCUGAUGCAGUGUCGGCGAGGAUGCGGGUUUGAUCCCUGGCCUCGCUCACUGAGUUAAGGAUCCGGCACUGCCGUGGCUAUAGCACAGGCCUCCGCUGUAGCUCCAAUUCAGUCUCUGGCCCAGGAACUUCAUAUGCCGCAGGUGCAGCUGU